UAUACGUAUUUUCUAUACUCAACAGCAGCACCGUCUCUUUUUCAUCUUGAUCAACUGCAAAAUUGCUAGGGUUAUUGCAGCUCUGCCCCAGAGCCUCCGUACGUAUUAUCAGCAGCAACGUCUCUGUUUUCCUUCUCUCAACUGCGACUUUCAGGAGUGCAUUGGCUACUUGUGGAAGGUCUACUCUUGAUUUUGGUGGGUGGUCAUUUAGGGGCCUGGCCUUUCAUUAAGUUCUGUUUAUGCAGAUGGUUGGAUAUAUUUUUCUGUAUAAUGGAUAUUUCUACUUUUCGUGAAACACUACAUUGUUGCACUUGCACCAUUACAAGCAAUGACAACUGAAGACCUAGUUUGGUAAUAUAUAUUGGUUAGUGGUAGUUACCUGAUAGCUACAUCCUCUUAGUCCAAGUAGCUAAUUGCACUUUAGAUAUUCUAGGUUGUUCAUUUUUCCGUAAUUUUUGGAAACUCUUUGAACUCGAAUGUACUAUUUGUUACUUUCUUGA